rnacentral:rRNA from 1 species
AACGAACGCUGGCGGCAUGCCUAACACAUGCAAGUCGAACGAGACCUUCGGGUCUAGUGGCGCACGGGUGCGUAACGCGUGGGAACCUGCCCUUAGGUUCGGAAUAACUCCCCGAAAGGGGUGCUAAUACCGGAUAAUGUCUUCGGACCAAAGAUUUAUCGCCUUUGGAUGGGCCCGCGUUGGAUUAGCUAGUUGGUAGGGUAAAAGCCUACCAAGGCGACGAUCCAUAGCUGGUCUGAGAGGAUGAUCAGCCACACUGGGACUGAGACACGGCCCAGACUCCUACGGGAGGCAGCAGUGGGGAAUAUUAGACGAUGGACGAAAGCCUGAUCCAGCAAUGCCGCGUGAGUGAUGAAGGCCUUAGGGUUGUAAAGCUCUUUUACCCGAGAUGAUAAUGACAGUACCGGGAGAAUAAGCUCCGGCUAACUCCGUG